rnacentral:lncRNA from 1 species
UUUGGUUCUGACUUAUUUAUUCAGUUGCAGCAGAGUUCAGACAAAGGUGCACACAUGAAACUGUUGGCUCUGCAAACCAAAAGAUUUCAGGGGAUCAAGAUCAAAGCUCUGCUCAGAAGUCUGAUGUGGAGACCCAAAGGCAGCAGCUGCUGCUCAUCUAGAAAAGUGCCUUUUUCCAGUUUUUUGUGCCAUGUUUGUGCUUAGCGAGACCCUGUGUGUUUCAGGGGAGUUGCGGAGGUUGAAUAAAGCCCGUGUACUUGGCGGGGAGUGAGCGAGCAACCGCGUGGUUCUGAGUUACUGGCUGGGCUUAAACCAUGACAAUAGCUUUCCAAAUGCUUCCCAUUGUUGUAUCCAACCUGGGACAGAUUGUCUCCAAAAUGCACUGGGAGAAAUAAUCCUCCCAGAAGUGGAGAAACUGGCUGAUCAUUGAGCAGAAAAGUAUCUAUUCUCCACCCUAGCGACAUGCCCUGCAUGCAAGCUAAACAAACCUGAUGCUGUAGAAAAGAUCUGUCAGUGUUUUUGUGGUUGCUUUUGAAGCCAGUUUGGAUGCAGCAGGGGAGUGCUGGGAUUUGGGAAAGGAGUAAAUGCAUGUGGAGGAAAAGCUGACUUUCCUCUUCACUCUUAUCCUGGGGAAGAGUGAGUAUUGUGUUUCGUGGCUAUUCUGGUUUUGAAUCGGCAUCACUGAACUCUAUUCAUCACUGGAAUACUAUCGAGUCAGAGAGGAACAGAAGAGAUUCAUAAUAGAGUACUUAGUGUCUCGAAGUAGAUCAAGUUGUGGUCAUGGCUUCCUGGAGUGCUGGCCUCAGCUAAGAGUGUUCCGGUCUAUUUUGGUUUGUGAACUACCUCUUGGCAGCCUUAAGCCAGCUACUGCAUUUAUUUCAAGAGCACUUCUUUAAUGCCAGAAAACUGCAAAAGAGAUUCUUUUGUCCAUUGAUAAUUGUCCCCAGCAGCUCAGAGCUGGGGCAUCUGCCGGUGCCCUGGAAGAAUGUAUACCUGCUGCACUGUCCAGAUAGUAUAGUGAGAAAAGUUUGUAUUCAAAAACAGACCUUUGCCUCUUCUUUGUUUCACAGCUCAACAAGAGCUCUUUGACAGCUCUUGGUGAGCUGUGAAACAAACAUGAUCUGGUGGUGGACAAUGAUCACUAAAGGCAAAUGUUUAAUCCUCUCUUGUUUGCUUUAAGAUUAAAUAAUUUCUACCUUGGCAUCUGUGUCAGCAGCUGUCCACC